rnacentral:rRNA from 1 species
AGUGAACGCUGGCGGUAGGCCUAACACAUGCAAGUCGAACGGCAGCACAGUAAGAGCUUGCUCUUACGGGUGGCGAGUGGCGGACGGGUGAGGAAUACAUCGGCAUCUACUUUUUCGUGGGGGAUAACGUAGGGACACUUACGCUAAUACCGCAUACGACCUACGGGUGAAAGCAGGGGAUCUUGGGACCUUGCGCGAUUGAAUGAGACGAUGUCGGAUUAGCUAGUUGGCUGGGUAAAGGCCCACCAAGGCGACGAUCCGUAGCUGGUCUGAGAGGAUGAUCAGCCACACUGGAACUGAGACACGGUCCAGACUCCUACGGGAGGCAGCAGUGGGGAAUAUUGGACAAUGGGCGCAAGCCUGAUCCAGCCAUACCGCGUGAGUGAAGAAGGCCUUCGGAUUGUAAAGCCCUUUUGUUAGGAAAGAAAAGCAGCAGAUGAAUACCCCGCUGUUCUGACGGUACCCAAAGAAUAAGCACCGGCUAACUUCGUG